GAUGAAGAACGUAGCGAAAUGCGAUAAGUAACGUGAAUUGCAGAAUUCAGUGAAUCAUCGAAUCUUUGAACGCACAUUGCGCUCCCUGGUAUUCCGGGGAGCAUGCCUGUUCGAGCGUCAUUACAACCCUCAAGCUCUGCUUGGUGUUGGGCCCCGCCGCCCCGGCGGGCCCUAAAGUCAGUGGCGGUGCCGUCCGGCUCCGAGCGUAGUAAUUUUUCUCGCUUUGGAGGCCCGGGCGCGUGCUCGCCAUCAACCCCCAAUUUUUUUCAGGUUGACCUCGGAUCAGGUAGGGAUACCCGCUGAACUUAAGCAUAUCAAUAAGCGGAGGA
rnacentral:misc_RNA from 1 species